rnacentral:rRNA from 1 species
GACAGAGGAUGCAAGCGUUAUCCGGAAUGAUUGGGCGUAAAGCGUCUGUAGGUGGCUUUUCAAGUCCGCCGUCAAAUCCCAGGGCUCAACCCUGGACAGGCGGUGGAAACUACCAAGCUGGAGUACGGUAGGGGCAGAGGGAAUUUCCGGUGGAGCGGUGAAAUGCAUUGAGAUCGGAAGGAACGCCCGUGGCGAAAGCGAGGUCCUGGACGUUUUCUGACGCUGAGACGCGAAAGCCAGGGGAGCGAACGGG